CACCUCUUCCCAUUCCGAACAGAGAAGUUAAGCUUCGUCACGCCGAUGGUACUGCAUAUUGUGGGAGAGUAGGUAGUCGCCGUCU
rnacentral:rRNA from 1 species